AGGUGCUGUUCCUGCAAAAAGGGGGGCGCAGAAAGAAGGCAAACAGUAAGAAGAAGGGCUCGGUCUUGGAUUUGCCCCGCGGCAGACAUUUGAGGGAGGUCCCAUGCGCAUCCUCGCAUAAGGACGAAUAUUGGAGAAGAGUUUGAUUUCAGCCAGAACUUCUUGGUUUGAAUCCAGUUGAAUCCAACCAUAUGAUAAAAACACCAAAUACCAGCAUGCGGCCCGGUUAACAAGCGCCUGUGGAGACGCACAGAUCCCCAUUCUGAUCACGAAUUGGAUUCACGGACCAUGCUCUCCCUUUCACCACAGGGCUGGAAGCCUAAAAACAGCAUUUCUGAAACUCACUCUCACUGGCACAGGGCCUAUUUAGAGUCCUCCAAUGGGAGAUACUGGUGUGAUACUGGGUGCACCGUCCUGCGACGCUGGCAGCCUCAUGUGGAAGCUUCCAAACAUGACAGGUGUGAGGUUUGGCCACCGGCUUCUGGGUGCCUUGCUGUGAAUCACCUACUCCCUAUGACUCACCACACAAUCCCAUGAUUCCUUUAUUUCCUGAUCACCUAAAUGCCACCGUGUUGCAGCUGGAGUCCCAGGGAAGCCAGUGGUGUAGGUCCAGGCUGAGCCUGAAGGCCUGAGAACCAGGAGAGCCACGCUGUGCGUCAACACUGAACAAACAUUAUCUCUAAUCAUCAUAAGAAACUGAAAAGUUUGGGGAAGUUUCUAUUACUCCAUCUAACAGAUGAGAACACCGAGAUUUGGGGCGGUUAAAUCACUGCUACAGAGCAUAAUGCUAAACCGUGGCUGGCCAGCGUCAUCAAUUCGCAAGUGGCCUAACCAUCCAUGAACAGUCCUGUGCUUCAGAGAAAACACAAGUUUUGUUUCCGCUAAGCUGCUGUCGGGGAGAAGUCCCAUUCAGUCCUCUUUUCCAGAAGCCACCUACAAAGUCACUGGGACAGGCGACAUCAUGCGCUGUGACUUUUAGAGUGGGGUGAGGAAUGCAGGAUUGGAUGAGUCCAUUCUGUGGGGAGGUCAGGCUGACGAGCAGAGAUCCAGAGAGGACACUUCAGACAAGAGGCAGAAGGCACAGCACAAAGACAA